UCCGAUUUGUCACCGGCAGUCCCCCAUGAGUCCCCGUCUUUCACGCUGGCAACAUGGGACAAGGGUUGCGCUCGUUGCGGGACUUAACCCAACAUCUCACGACACGAGCUGACGACAGCCAUGCACCACCUGCGCUGGGCCCCGAAGGACACCACAUCUCUGUGGCUUUUCCCAGCAUGUCAAACCCAGGUAAGGUUCUUCGCGUUGCCUCGAAUUAAGCAACAUGCUCCGCCGCUUGUGCGGGUCCCCGUCAAUUCCUUUGAGUUUUAACCUUGCGGCCGUACUCCCCAGGCGGUCGACUUCACGCGUUAGCUUCGGUACCAAGGAAUCGCUUCCCCAACACCUAGUCGACAUAGUUUAGGGCGUGGACUAC
rnacentral:misc_RNA from 1 species